GGGAUGUGUCUCAAUGGCAGGGUGCUUGCCUAGCAUGUGCAAGGGCCUGGGUUCAAUCCUCAGAUCUCC
rnacentral:tRNA from 1 species